AUUGAACGCUGGCGGAAUGCUUUACACAUGCAAGUCGAACGGUAGAGGGGGCAACCCCUCGAGAGUGGCGAACGGGUGAGUAAUAUAUCGGAACGUGCCCAGUCGUGGGGGAUAACGUAGCGAAAGUUACGCUAAUACCGCAUACGAUCUAAGGAUGAAAGCGGGGGAUCGCAAGACCUCGCGCGAUUGGAGCGGCCGAUAUCAGAUUAGGUAGUUGGUGGGGUAAAGGCUCACCAAGCCAACGAUCUGUAGCUGGUCUGAGAGGACGACCAGCCACACUGGAGCUGAGACACGGUCCAGACUCCUACGGGAGGCAGCAGUGGGGAAUUUUGGACAAUGGACGCAAGUCUGAUCCAGCCAUUCCGCGCGCAGGAUGAAGGCCCUCGGGUUGUAAACUGCUUUUGUACGGAACGAAAAGGUCUCUCUUAAUACGGGGGACUCAUGACGGUACCGUAAGAAUAAGCACCGGCUAACUACGUGCCAGCCGCCGCGGUAACAC
rnacentral:rRNA from 1 species